GCAAGGCGGGCAGCUACACAUGCAAGUCGAGCGAAGCCUUCGGGCUUAGCGGCGGACGGGUGAGUAACGCGUGGGAACGUGCCCUUCACUACGGAAUAGUCCCGGGAAACUGGGUUUAAUACCGUAUACGCCCUUCGGGGGAAAGAAUUUCGGUGAAGGAUCGGCCCGCGUUAGAUUAGGUAGUUGGUGGGGUAAUGGCCUACCAAGCCUACGAUCUAUAGCUGGUUUGAGAGGAUGAUCAGCCACACUGGGACUGAGACACGGCCCAGACUCCUACGGGAGGCAGCAGUGGGGAAUCUUAGACAAUGGGGGCAACCCUGAUCUAGCCAUGCCGCGUGAGUGAUGAAGGCCUUAGGGUCGUAAAGCUCUUUCGCUGGGGAAGAUAAUGACGGUACCCAGUAAAGAAACCCCGGCUAACUCCGUGCCAGCAGCCGCGGUAAU
rnacentral:rRNA from 1 species